rnacentral:rRNA from 1 species
GACGAACGCUGGCGGCGUGCUUAACACAUGCAAGUCGAACGGAAAGGCCCUGCUUUUGUGGGGUGCUCGAGUGGCGAACGGGUGAGUAACACGUGAGUAACCUGCCCUUGACUUUGGGAUAACUUCAGGAAACUAGGGCUAAUACCGCAUAGGAGCUCCUGCUGCAUGGUGGGUGUUGGAAAGUUUCGGCGGUUGGGGAUGGACUUGCGGCUUAUCAGCUUGUUGGUGGGGUAGUGGCUUACCAAGGCUUUGACGGGUAGCCGGCCUGGGAGGGUGACCGGCCACAUUGGGACAGGGAUGCGGCCCAGACUCCUACGGGAGGCAGCGGUGGGGAAUAUUGCAAAAUGGGCGGAAGCCGGAUGCAGCAACGCCGCGUGCUGGAUGACGGCCUUCGGGUUGUAAACCGCUUUCGACUGUGACGAAGCGUGAGUGACGGUAAUGGGUAAAGAAGCACCGGCUAACUACGUG